rnacentral:rRNA from 1 species
CCUACGGGAUGCAGCAGUAGGGAAUAUUGCUCAAUGGGCGAAACCCUGAAGCAGCCACGCCGCGUGGAGGAUGAAGGUUUUCGGAUUGUAAACUCCUUUUGUUAGAGAAGAUAAUGACGGUAUCUAACGAAUAAGCACCGUCUAACUCCGUGCCAGCAGCCGCGGUAAUACGGCGGGUGCAAGCGUUACUCGGAAUCACUGGGAGUAAAGAGCGCGUAGGCGGGAUAGCAAGUCAGAUGUGAAAUCAUAGGGCUUAACAAUAGAACUGCAUGUGAAACUGUUAUUCUAGAGUAUGGGAGAGGUAGGCGGAAUUCUUGGUGUAGGGGUAAAAUACGUAGAGAUCAAGAGGAAUACUCAGUGCGAAGGCGACCUGCUAGAACAUAACUGACGCUGAGGCGCGAAAGCGUGGGGAGCAAACAGGAUUAGAUACCCGGGUAGUC